AAGAACGCUCAGAGCCUUCCUCUGCUUCCUCCUCCGCGCAUCCCACCUCCUCCGCCUCGGCCUCCGCCUGCCCAAAAGCCUCGCUGUUCAUCUGCCUCUGGCAUCUCGGUCUCGUUCCCGAGCGGCACCAGGCUCCCCGCCGCUGACCAGGCGUUGUCCCUGACGCUGGCCCGCUCGGUCGCGAGGGAGAUCUCGGCGGACUUUGGCGGGGUCGACGGCGCGGCGAAGAAGGAGAGCCUGCUGCAUUUUUUCUCUCUUUUUUUCAACGAAGCGCGCUUUUUCUUCCCGCUUCUGCCUCUCUCUUCCUCAAGCACUCCUCUCCUCUCUGUCCCGAGCCCUCUCACUCACCCCAAGCGCCCCCCUCCUCUCUUGCUCGAGCCCUCUCACUCACCCUAACCGCUUCCCUCCUCGCCUCUCUCCUCGUCGCCGUCAUCGACUUUCCAGCCGCGGCUCCAGAAAUCGCCGGCUGCCGACUGGCCUCUCGAGCUUCUUUGAAGCAAAAGAGGUUUGCGAGGCUAGAUAUACUGGUGGCGGUGCUAAGUUUUGGGGUUUCGGCGACGCCGUGACGGCCGCGAGGGAUGUUGUGGUGGAGGAGAGAGAGGCGUAUGGGUACCGUAAGACCUCUCUUUCUCCUUUGCCUUUUUUUUUCUUUUCUAUCGCCUCUGUCUCGCCGGAGUAAGAGCGUGGAGCAGAACGUCGAGCGCAGCGAGGCGAAGGGGGAGAGAGGCAAUGUCUACUUCGCCCGAUGCAGAUUCAGUCGACGCCCUUCGCUCCUAGAUCCAUUCUCUCCAGACGACAAUCAACGAGCUGGAGAAGCAGAACGCCGACCUUUCUUCUCGACUCUCUGGAUGUUGCUGUCAAAAGAUGGAAGACAAGAUUGGUUGUGUCAUAGACGGAGGUAGAGUGGUCGAUGUGAAUGGCAAAUCAAUGAAGCUGGACAAGAAGACUAGGAAGAAAAA